AAUAUAUACUUCUUGACGGAAGUAACUAUAUUUUUUCAAAUGCGUUUUUUCCCACCCACUUUCAAAAUUCCGCACGGGACGGCGCCCCCUUUUCAUUUUUGCGCCCCCCAAGAAUUGCCAGCUGGGGGGGCCGUGGCCCCCCGGCCCCCCCUGCCAGCACGCCACUGCCCUUCCUGUUUGCGUUUUAGCCUGCAAAUGGGUUCCCAUCACUCGAUUCCUCGGGUGAGAUGCCUGUGGAGGAGGCUAGAGUUCAUGCCCCUGUUGUUAGUGAAACUCCAUACCAAGAAACAUGUAUUGCAGUAAUGUUUCAAAAUUAAUUAAAG